UACGUAGGGUGCGAGCGUUAAUCGGAAUUACUGGGCGUAAAGCGUGCGCAGGCGGUUUGCUAAGACAGGUGUGGAAUCCCCGGGCUUAACCUGGGAACUGCGCUUGUGACUGGCAGGCUAGAGUACGGCAGAGGGGGGUGGAAUUCCUGGUGUAGCAGUGAAAUGCGUAGAUAUCAGGAGGAACACCGAUGGCGAAGGCAGCCCCCUGGGCCUGUACUGACGCUCAUGCACGAAAGCGUGGGGAGCAAACAGGAUUAGAUA
rnacentral:rRNA from 1 species